UACGUAGGCAGCAAGCGUUGUUCGGAGUUAACUGGGCGUAAAGGGUGCGUUAGGCGGCUUUUUAAGUUUGGUUGUGAAAUCUCCCGGCUCAACUGGGAGGGUGCGCCGAAUACUGAGAGGCUAGAGUUGUGGGAGAGGAAAGUGGAAUUCCUGGUGUAGCGGUGAAAUGUCGUAGAUAUCAGGAGGAACACCGGUGGUGUAAACGGCUUUCUGGACCAUAACUGACGCUGAGGCACGAAAGCGUGGGUAGCAAACAGG
rnacentral:rRNA from 1 species